UACGGACACAUCACGGUGAAAUACUGGUUCCCUUAAGAUCACCGAAGUUAAGCAACGUCGAGCUUGGUCAAUACCUAGAUGGAUGAUCGCUUAGGGAUACCAGGUGCUGUAA